rnacentral:lncRNA from 1 species
UUCGGCGAUCAAAUAUUUCAUACAAUUGUUCUUUGACAUCUUAACCAACAGCACAGGGAAUAAUAAACUAUAGAAGGAUUUCUAUCGAGCACUACUUCCUAUGUGCAACUUCAAAACUUUUGGGAAAAUCGACGACCAUUUAACGUUUUUAUGGUAAUAUUUUUUAUAUUCCAGAAUAAAAAGUAUGAAAAAAGUGUCCAAUUAGUUAUAAAUAACGUAAUAGCCAGCCA